CUGUAGACUCGCUUCACUGCACUGCGCUCCGCUCCACUGCCACGUUGUUUCAGCUCGUCAAGUCCACCACUGCCAGGGCCUGCUUGUUUUUGGGUGAGUCGUCCAUGGUCACCAAGCUGUUCACCUCAACAUGUUGGUGCUGUUCUUCCUGGGUCUGGUUACAGGAACCGUAAAGAACUGGGCUCUUGAUCCUGCUGUGGAGCUUACUCACACAAAGAACCCACCGAGUGAGAGAUUGAAGUUGGGGGUGGACUACCCAAACCUUAAGAGGCAUCACAGCAUGAAUGAUAUUCAACCGUCUUUCUACACACUGAAAGACCAGAAGCCCGCGGACAACAGCAUGUCUUUAGCCUGCAGGGAGAAACCUUGACCUGCCAGAGAUCCAUGUAGUGCUGGAGCACUUCGGACUCCACCCCCUGCCACAUACUGUAACUGUGGUUUGCCAUGUUUCCUUGAGGAUCCUCCCUGCCAACCACUGAUGGGUCUUAUUCCCCCUGGCAGCAAGGACCUCAUGACUUGUUGUGAGCCUGCUCUCUUCACAGGUGGCUCAGAGUGUAGAUACAUACAUACGGAUAGAUAGAUAGAUAAAUAAUUGUUAUAGUUUGUUCAUUGUGUUCAUUUUGUG